UACGUAGGGUGCAAGCGUUAAUCGGAAUUACUGGGCGUAAAGCGCACGUAGGCGGAUUUGUAAGUCAGGGGUGAAAUCCCGGGGACUCGAACCUCGGAACUGCCUUUGAUUACUGCAAGUCUUGAGUCCGGAAGAGGUGAGUGGAAUUCCGUAGUGUAGAGGUGAAAUGCGCAGAUAUCAGGAGGAACACCAAUUGCGAAGGCAGCUCGCUGGGACGUGACUGACGCUGAGACGCGAAAGCUAGGGGAGCGAACAGG
rnacentral:rRNA from 1 species